CGAAGUAAUUAGCAUCCUCCUCUGUCAUUGGCUCUCUGCGCCUCUGCUUUGCAUACGCCCGCCUGCUGGCGGCUGGGCUGCACUGGGCUCCGCGGCGUUUGCAGCCGGCCCGGCAGCCGCCAGGCUCAGUGCGGGGCGAGCGUGAUCCGGCGCUGGAGCCAGAGCCAGCGGCCCAGGGUCGGCGGAGUCUACGCCCUGUGCACCCGAGGACCGGCGUCCGGGCCUCGGCGCCCAUCCCGGCCAGGGAGCGGCCAGGCAGACACUUCUGAUUUCGGAUGAAAGGGGUGAGUCCGGGCGUGAGCCUCCCUCCUGGCCUGGCUCACCGAGCCUCUUGGCGCCCCAGCUCCGGCCCGGGCUCUGGAAAAUGACUUCACGCUCUCCCCGUUGCCAUCCGGCGGCGGCGGCGCGCUGGGGCAGCCCUGAGUGGUAACCUCGGGAGGCAGCGCCUGGGGCCGAGUGAGCCGAGGCGGGAAUCCCGCCUCUCGCCGGCCUCCUCCCCCGGCUCCCCGGCGGCCGCAGCAUGAAGUGGCGCAGCGAUGGCCAGGAGCGGUAAGAAGCCCGUGGUGCGCACGCUGGAGGACCUGACGCUGGACUCGGGUUAUGGUGGCGCCGCGGACUCGGUGCGCUCCUCCAGCUUGUCCCUGUGCUGCUCCGACUCGCACCCGGCGUCCCCGUAUGGCGGGAGCGGCUGGCCGCCCCUAGCCGACUCCAUGCACAGCCGGCACGACAGCUUUGACACCGUCAACACUGCCCUGGUGGAGGACUCCGAGGGGCUGGACUGCACCGGCCAGCACUGCCCGCGGCUGCUGCCGGACCUCGACGAGGUACCCUGGACGCUGCAGGAGCUCGAGGCGCUGCUGCUGCGCGCCCGUGACCCCCGCAUCUGCCUCCCGGCCCCCGGCGGGCUCCCCCGGGACGCGCUGGCCCGGCUGUCGGUGCUGGUGAGCCGCGCGCUCGUGCGCAUCGCCAAGGAGGCGCAGCGCCUGAGCCUGCGCUUCGCCAAGUGCACCAAGUACGAGAUCCAGAGCGCCAUGGAAAUCGUGCUGUCCUGGGGGCUGGCGGCGCACUGCUCCGCCGCCGCGCUGGCCGCGCUGUCACUCUACAACAUGAGUAGCGCGGGCGGCGACCGCCUGGGCCGCGGCAAGUCGGCGCGCUGCGGCCUCACCUUCUCCGUGGGCCGCGUGUACCGCUGGAUGGUGGACAGCCGCGUGGCGCUGCGCAUUCACGAGCACGCCGCCAUUUACCUGACGGCCUGCAUGGAGAGCCUGUUCCGGGACGUCUACGCGCGUGUCGUGGCCUCGGGGCUACCCCGGGGUUGUGGCGGCCCGGGCUCCGGUUCUAGCUGUGUUCCCGGCCCCGGCCCAAGCGCAGCGCCCUCUGCGGACGCGGAGCGCGAGGCGGCCGGAGGGGGCGCGGCGGGAGGGGGCGCUAGCAGCGCCCCCAGCAGCACAAGUGGGGGCAGCAGCUGCUGUGCCCCGCCGGCCCCGGCCACCGCCGCAGCCCAGCCGGCCGCCGCGCGCCGCCAACCACGGCCACGCGCACCACGCGCUGCACGAGGCGCCACGGUUCACGCUGGAGACGCUGGAACACACGGUCAACAACGACUCGGAGAUCUGGGGGCUGCUGCAGCCCUACCAGCACCUCAUCUGCGGGAAGAACGCCAGCGGGGUGCUAAGCCUGCCCGACAGCCUGAACCUGCAUCGCGAGCCGCAGCGCACAGCCAAGCCGGGGGAGCUGCCCGUGUUCAGCCAGUCGGAGCUGCGGACCAUCGAGCAGUCCUUGCUGGCCACGCGCGUGGGCAGCAUUGCCGAGCUCAGUGACCUGGUUUCGCGCGCCAUGCACCACCUGCAGCCGCUGCACGCCACGCAGCACGGCAACGGCACCCCCCUGCACCGCCGGCAGGGCGCGCUCUACUGGGAGCCAGAGGCGCUGUACACGCUCUGCUACUUCAUGCACUGCCCGCAGAUGGAGUGGGAGAACCCCAACGUGGAGCCGUCCAAGGUCAGCCUGCAGGUGGAGAGGUAAGCGCGCAGCUCGCCUCUGCCUGGGGCGACUGGGCCCUGACGUGCCCGAGGUGUCCUGGUCAGCGGGUCCGCAGAGGCCGCGCCAGGUCUUGUAAAGAGUCCGGGUCGGAGGAGCCAGGGCCUCCAGAGCCCUGCGGCUUCCUUGAGCUGAUGGCAGCCCGGGGUGCCACGU
ensembl:lincRNA